rnacentral:lncRNA from 10 species
GAAACCAAGCGGAGUGUCCUUUGGAGCCUCUGGACGGUGUGCAGUCGGACAGCUUGGUUUCUGUCUAAUGAAACUCAUUUCAGGCUUCUCACCUCCAGAACUAGAGCCUGAGAGUGAGGCCUUUGAAUGAUGCCCUGGACAGAGCUUGGAACAUGAAGGUGAAUACUGUUGUGGGGAGAAUGCAUCCCUUUGCCUGGCUCUGAGCCAGGGCCAGCUUUGGAUCCUGCUAGCCCCAUGGAUAUAGAGGCCAAGACAUUGAAUAUUUGCAGUGCCCCAAAAGUUUCCUUAGGCCCUUUCCAGUUAGCAUCACCCUCAGCAUCAAGAACACUGCCUGGCAUACAAUGGACACUCAAUCAAUAUUUGUUGAAAGAAAGAACAAUGGAAUGAAUGGUUGUAUUAACCAUCAUAUCUGGUGACAAACAAAACUUGACCAGGUGACAGUACGAAGACUCACAGUAGUGGGGAAGUCCUGUCCUCAAGUCCAUGCAGCUCAGGAGUGGGAGAACUUGGAUCUGAGUGAGCCCUGAUUGUCGCCUUGAGGACCACUGUAUUUUCAGAGCCUUGCCUUGCUUCUCAGAGGUGAGAGCCACCUCCAUUUCAACACGGCCAUUGCUGGAGCUGAGGCAGCCUCCUAGCGCCCCAAGCAGGACAGAUGCUCUUUGGCUCCUUUGGGUUGAUGGGAAAAUCUGAAGCCCAGGAAGGGAAAGAAGGAUACCCAAUGACACA